GAUUAACGCUGGCGGCGUGCAUAACACAUGCAAGUCGAACGAUGAAACUCAUUAGAUUUCUUCGGAAUGAAAAUGAAUGGAUUAGUGGCGAACGGGUGAGUAACGCGUGAGUAACCUGCCUUACACAAGGGGAUAGCCUCUGGAAACGGAGAAUAAUACCCUAUGAAACCAGCCAAUCGCAUGAUAAUCUGGUCAAAAUGUUUAGUGGUGUAAGAUGGACUUGCGUCUGAUUAGCUAGUUGGUGAGAUAAAAGCUCACCAAGGCAACGAUCAGUAGCCGGCUUGAGAGAGUGUACGGCCACAUUGGGACUGAGACACGGCCCAGACUCCUACGGGAGGCAGCAGUGGGGAAUUUUGCACAAUGGGGGAAACCCUGAUGCAGCGACGCCGCGUGAUUUAGAAGGCCUUCGGGUUGUAAAAAUCUUUUGUAUAGGAAGAAAAUGACAGUACUAUACGAAUAAGGUCCGGCUAAUUACGUG
rnacentral:rRNA from 1 species